rnacentral:rRNA from 1 species
AGAGUUUGAUCCUGGCUCAGGAUGAACGCUAGCUACAGGCUUAACACAUGCAAGUCGAGGGGCAGCAUGGUCUUAGCUUGCUAAGGCCGAUGGCGACCGGCGCACGGGUGAGUAACACGUAUCCAACCUGCCGUCUACUCUUGGACAGCCUUCUGAAAGAAAGAUUAAUACAAGAUGGCAUCAUGAGUCCGCAUGUUCACAUGAUUAAAGGUAUUCCGGUAGACGAUGGGGAUGCGUUCCAUUAGAUAGUAGGCGGUGUAACGGCCACCUAGUCUUCGAUGGAUAGGGGUUCUGAGAGGAAGGUCCCCANAUUGGAACUGAGACACGGUCCAAACUCCGUACGGGAGCA